rnacentral:pre_miRNA from 1 species
AAUAAACCAAAUUUUUAUAUUUUAUCUUCAAUUUUUGACUCUUCGUCUUAUUCAAAAACUUUUUAUGAUUGAUAUUUUUUUUAUUAGAUGAUAAAUCAUAAAUAGUACUUUACGUGUAACUAAUAUUUUUUAAUUUCCUGAAAAUUUUUCAAAUAAGACGGGACGGAUGGUAAAACGUUAGACAUGGAAAUGAAAG